UACGUAGGGUCCGAGCGUUGUCCGGAAUUACUGGGCGUAAAGCGCACGUAGGCGGCUUUGUAAGUUAGAGGUGAAAGCCCGGGGCUCAACCCCGGAAUUGCCUUUAAGACUGCAUCGCUUGAAUCCAGGAGAGGUGAGUGGAAUUCCGAGUGUAGAGGUGAAAUUCGUAGAUAUUCGGAAGAACACCAGUGGCGAAGGCGGCUCACUGGACUGGUAUUGACGCUGAGGUGCGAAAGCGUGGGGAGCAAACAGG
rnacentral:rRNA from 1 species